rnacentral:rRNA from 1 species
GAUUUCUGGUUUAAUGCACCUGGCCCGCGGCCACUAGGCUUGUGAGUGCCGGCGCGCGUUUACCAUCCUUCUAGAAAACAUAUCUGUCCUUCAUUGGUUCGGGUAUGCGAUCUAGAUCUAUUACUUUGAAAAAAUUAGAGUGUUUAAAGCAGGCUUUUGCUAUGAAUACAUUAGCAUGGAAUAAUAAUUUAGGACUUUGGUUCUAUUUUGUUGGUUUCUAGUACUGAAGUAAUGAUUGAUAGGGAUAGUUGGGGGUGCUAGUAUUCAUCGGCCAGAGGUGAAAUUCUUGGAUUCGAUGAAGACUAACUUAUGCGAAAGCAUU